ACUUGGCGGUGAACUUGAGCCAGCAGCGGUUAACCCGGCCCGGGGUUCUGGGCCUCAGCCGGCGCCAGCAGCUCCCUCAGGUGGGGCGCAAGCCUCAGCGCGCCGCCCUUCUCCGCUCCUCUCCUCCAACCGGCCCUUACCUAGGGCGACGGCCCCGGGGACCCCCUUCCCAAGGGCGUCGGCCUGGAGCCUGGAGUCUGUAGGAGUGGCGGGAGAUGGGGACGCGAGUCCCUGGACGCCGACAGUCUGUCUCUAAGGCGUUGCUGCGUGGCUUUGGUACACAGAGCCUCGACCGCUUCUCCACCGCUGCAAGCACAGCGGGGAAGUGGAUGGAGAAGCAAAGACAGACAGACAGACAGACAGACAGACAAGCGGCGGCGGGGCUACCCUGAAACCCGAGCGUCUCCAAGCCCCCACCCCCAACCCCCGGGCACGGCGCUGCAGAUGCCAGAUCCCCGACCAGAGGCGGUGGAGAUGGGCAGGGCAAAGAACGCGCGCGCCGCUCGCAGCUCGUCCGCGCGUGGCCUUCCUCUUGCCCCCCUGCACCUUCAAUUUACCUUAUGCAGGGCGCCCCGCGAGCUGCGGGCUGAGGCGCCGAGCCGAAGCCCAGAGGACAGGAGUUUGAGAGCCGCCAUCUUCGGCCCCGGGUGCGGGAGACGGUGGCGCGCGCGGGAGUGCGUGCGAGUGCUGGUUGCCCGGGGCCGCGGCGGCGUCACCGGCUAAGAAGAGAGAAGGCAAGGCGAGCGGUAGGGCGGGCUGGAGGCUCGACCGCGCGUCAGUGACGUCCUCGGGACCUCAGAGCGGUGCCGCCCCUUGCUGCCUGCUGGCUUGUCAAGAAGCGAGACAGGGAGGGGCUCACGGCUAGGAAUGGAAAGGCUGCACAGCUAGGACGAGCCCCGCGGGUUGUGCCGGGGCCGGAGGUGCUGGGCUCCAGCUCAUCUGCGGGCACACCCGCAGCGGCGGGCGCUGCACUCAGGCUGGAGGGGGCGCUAGAGCCUGCCUUCCCCUCGCGCAAGGCUUGGCAUCAACCAGGGUUUCGGGUUGCCAAGGGCCUGGAGGGUCUCUUACUGAACGUGUUACUUUUCCAAAUCGCCCUCUGGAAUGAGUACAGGUACAAAGGGUCACUGAUAAAGAUCUCCUUCCAGAUCUAGACAGCUCACCUUUCCAACAUUUCUCAACCCCAACACCCACAACUCUCUUCAAGUCUGGUUUUGCCCUUAGUUUCCUCUGAAACCCAGCAGCGUGCUGACUGACCCUCAUGAGACAUGACCUGCUUAACCGACAGAGGGACAAGAUUAGAACUGGGCUGUUGUUCCCCAUCAUCCUACUCUGUGUUCCAGAAUUUUCCUGGAACCGGAGUCCCAACAAUUCCAGAAAUUACAGAACAGCAACCGUUAAAUACAGAAGUUGGUGCUAGAGUGGGCUGAAGCUGUGUAGCACUUGACUGUGUUGCUUUGAAGAGGAAGGUGGAAGACUGUGGAGAUCUGGCCUGGAGCAGCAUCUGGAUACUUUCGGCAGAACUUAAAAGGCAACCCUAAAGGAAGCCUGAAAGAUAACCACACUGAGAGCAAUGAGGACUGUGGAGACCCAGAGCAGAAGGUUUCAGAGAGGAACACUAUCAGCCAUUGGGCUCCAAGCUCUUGUGAUAUUUGGGCAAAGAAUCUAAUGGCCCUGGGCUUUGAUCCUAAGAACUUACCUAAGGGGAAAUUUUUAAAGUAACAGAAUAAUUUCUAUAGUGGAAUAAAAUUUCAAGACCACAUAACAUUGAGUCUGUGGCAUGGUUUUUAUUGAUAAUGCUUCGGAUCUAUGAUGGAAAAGAGACAGAAAUUAAAAAUGGACAUUUUGGUGAGAUAAGGAGCAUUGGGAAUCUUACUGCCCACAUUGAAAUAGAGGCUAUAAUUGCUCAGGAGUCAAGCACCAUUAAGGAGAGACCUGCUCUACACUGGAAUGUGGUUAACACUCCGCCCAGCUAAGCCUCUACAUUCUGAAAGGAAAAAGACUAAGAGGUGACUAGCCAAACUUAGCAGGUAUCUCAAUAUGAUGUUAUCUUGGAUGCAUGAAGGAGACCACACCGGUUCAUAGACUCCUCUUCCUGGAUCUUAGAUGCAUGAAGGAGACCAUGCCGGUUCAUAGACUCCUCUUCCUGGGCCUCAGGGAGCUGCUGGGGCCAAGAAACAUGUGGAAGAGGGGUCACUACAUGAAGGCUUUGAGAAGGCAAGAGGCUCUAAGAAAGCAUUGCAGGAAACUGUGAAAGUAAAGCUCUUGCAGUAAAGAUCCCAAAUUUUUGGUGAUUCAGCAGCCACGGCUUACCUGCUGUGACAAGUUAUGCUUUGAUUACUGUGCCUAGAGAGAUCCAUGAAACAAAAAGAAAUUCUCCCUUCCCUAGGGACAAGAUACUUCAAAAAUGCUGGAGGCUGUUGUUUAAGGAAGAUAACAAGCCACAUGUUUUCGCACUCAUAAACAAGUUUGUUUGCCCCAACUGCAUUGGCUGUCUCUAUCACCAGUAGGCAGAGGUAAGGAAACAGGAAACAUGUCAAGAUAUAUGCUUGUCCUUCAUUGUAUGUUUGUCCUUCAUUGGAUAUUGAUUGGCCUUGUGGGGUUGCCUUUUUAAGCCUCUGCAAGAUGUGAUUCAUCACCAAUUGCUGGGAACCUGGGAAUGAACCGGGUCAGAGUCCAUCCUCCUGGCCAGCAUCUAAUUAACGAUUGCUUCAUAUUUGACUCAAAGAUUGUGGUAGUGGUCUUAUUCCCAACUGGUGAGAUUAACACUGCCAAAGAGAACUGCAAACAGGGGCAGAACCAGCCCAGGAGAGAUGUGUACGUCGCAGGCAGCAAAGGUGGGGGUGUAGAGGUAUCUAAGCCCCUCGACAUCAGAUGUGAAACUACAGAUUUGGUCUUGGCCCUGUUGAGUUCUGAUCUUACUUUGGCAUAGCAUUCCCAUUUAGAAGGUUUGUGGGUAUUAUAUUCUGGGGUAUUACACAUUGAACACAUGUGAAUUGUGUUUUGAUCUUACAGUGGUUACAAUUAAGAGAGUUCCUUGAGCCUCAGAAGAGACUUUGGGCUUUUGAGUUUUACAGAAUAUUGAGGCUGUGAGAAACAAUGAGGAGUUUUGAAAUCAGAUUAAAGAAAUUUUGCAUUAAGAUACAGUUAUGAGCUUAUGGAAGCUGGGGAGUGCAAUGUAGUGUUUUAAAUAAGAAAUGUUUCCAUUAACCUGGGAAUUAGAGCACAUGGGUCCUCAGUAGGUAGCUUUGUUUCGGAGAGGUUUAGAAGGUAUGGUCUUGUUGGAGGACGUGUGUACUGGUAACAAGAGUUGGGAAUAUAUCCUGUCUACUUCCAGUAUGCUGGCUGUCUGCUUUGUGCUUCUGGUUAAGAUAUGAUAACUCAGUUUCCUGUUCCUACUGCCAUCCCUGCUACUGGUCAUGCAUCCCCACUGUGAUGGAAUCUUAUACCUCUGGUACCACAUAAACACUUCCUCCUACAAAUUGCCUUCGUACUCAGCUAUCUAGUGCACUCAACGUCAUCAUAGAACACCUGCUUUGGUGCCCUGUGUGGAGCCCUGGCUGUCCUGGAACAUGCUCUGUAGACCAGACUGGCCUCGAACUCUGCCUUGAGACCCACCUGCUUCUGCAUCCCAAGUUCUGGGAUUACAGGUGUGCACCACCACUGCCUGGUGUGCCUUUGGAAUUUUAUAGGAUGAACUCACAGGGUUUCAGAACCAAGUGUUGGCAGCAAACCAACAAAACCGCAUGUGAGAGCUGUGACUUAUACUUGGUCAUAAAGAUAGAAACUGACAGAACGCCGUUCUGGAUGCUAGAGAGCUAAGUGACAGCUGAUUCUGAGCUUCGCAUUCCCAUGUGGCAAACUGCAGCCUAACUUAAGAAUACAUUCUCAUAACAAAUAGCUGAAUGUCAGCCAGUCUCAGCAGCUGUAGGUCAGCCAAACAUAGGCUCACCAGGCUAUUUCCCUAUGAUGCAAAUAGCUUGUCACACCAUGCUCACAAAAGGCAAAGCUGAGCUGUGAUUAAUCAAGGGACUUAUUUUUUUCCUUCGUCUUUCCACAAUUAAUGCCUGCCUACACUAGGGUGUAGGGCUCUCUGAUCCUCUGAACCACUAGGGACUCACUAAUGAAUCUUGUUCAAAUAAACUUCUGAGUUUAAUUUAAUUUUUUUUCUUAUAACAAGUUUCUUAUAUAGGUUUGUUUAUUCUCUUUAUAUCCUUAUAGCAGAAAGUUAUGUCAUAUCUUUUAUAUGGGCAAUAAUUCCAUUUCAUAGGAACUCCACCCUAAUGUCAUAAUCACUUUCAAAAAGCCCCACACCCACAUAUUAUUACAUUUGUGAUUAGGAUUCAAUUUAUGAGGUGACCAAGGGUAGGGAGUGCAUAUUUAGACCAUGGCUAGUAUUUCAUCUUUGCUCACACACCAGGAAACAUCAGGCAGGAUUUAAACUCUGUACUUUAUAUUCAUCUUUCUUACCCUUAGACCCCUCUUCCUGAGAUAUCUUUGAAUUUCACACUAGUUCUCCAGUUUGACAAAACCUGCAUUAUUUCUGGGUUUCCAUUUCAGUUUUGUUCAUAUAGAUGAUUGUGAAUCCCCCCACCCCCAAAUAAACACUGCUCCUCUAUUACAUU